CUAACUGUUAGCGCAGUCAGCUCGCUGUCCAUCCCCACGCACGGGGCGAUCCGCGGUAACAGAGAUUUGCCGUGUUAAUGCAGUUAUGCCGUUAACGUCAUUUUAACCAGAUUAACGCUACCAGCAUUAAAAUAAUAAUCUCCAAAUGUUUUCUUUUUACCGAGCAGCUCCUCUUUGACAGCUGCCGUGUCCGUCUUGUGCUGCCUGCAGGUGAAGCGAUGGGCGAGGCAGAGUAACGCUGCGCAGAGACAAAAGUGGACGAAAGAGAGGCAAACUUGCAACUCCACAAGUAUAAUUACAACGUAACACAGACUAUAUCGAUAUAAACAAUGUUGUCAGAUCUUAUAUCUCGUAUAAAAAUAUAUCGAUAUAUUUAAAAACUCGAUAUAUCGCCCUGUCCUAGAUGCAGUACAUCCCAUGUCUCUGUUUUUGUUUUGCUUUCCUCUCAGACUGUUUAUGAAUACAAGUGCAUACACAGACACUGUACAGCCUUCAUAAUCAUAGUGUUGCAGGUGUCACGAUCAGUUCCAAUAAGUAAAGCCAGUAUACACAGUAGAAAUAACACCUGCAGUUUGCCUAAAACAGCGUGUGAAUGAAUGCAUGUGCAUGAAAUCUGUAGACACUACAUACUAAUCAGGGCUGUGCACUGUUGUUUUGAAUAGACGGCAGUAUUAAAACAAUUACUGUCUGUCAGAUGAAAGUGUGGCAGCAACGUUUCCCAGUGGAGAUGCAGAUGUGAAAAACACACAUACACACUCCUGUUUGCAGACACAACAUCAGCUGUAAGUCUGAUUACGAGUGAUUAGUGUUUCAUUGGAGAGGGAUGAUCACCACUGCCCUGCACUGAAUGUGUUCCUCUCACUCAUCAGACCAGCUUCUCUCCUGUAGGCGUCUUUCAUCUUUCCCCGUGAUCUCAGCAUGAAGUUAACAAAUGAUUUGUUUCUGCUUCCCUGCACAUGUUGUGUUGUCAUCACUAUGAUAUUCAUGGCCAUUGUUGACUUCAAGGCUGCAAACAGAGAAAAAAGACAAAUGGAUCCAUUGCAAGGCAGCCAGUCCAAAAAGGAAAUCCAAAUUAUAGAAGGGAAGAGCUUUCCCACAUUGUGUCUGCUUCAGCGUGAGGUUUGGAUUUCAACUGUACCUACGAUUUAGUUAAAUAUUUCAUUCCAAUGUUCAAAGCCUUACUGGGACCCUACUGGGAUUUCAUAGCUAGACUGUGAUUAUCAUCUUAGUUUGUCAUUACUCUCCCAAAUCUCAGUGUGUGUUUCCUUGUGUUUUCGUAGGUGUUUCUCUGGGGGAGCUCAGCAGCUCCUCAGCACGGCCCCGAGUCAGACUUGACUUAAUUUGGAACCCAGAGGUCUGAUGAGGCUCUGAGGAUGACGUCUUUGCCUUGAAGCCCCACCAGUAUGUCAGAGCCAGCAGAAAAAUGCUCCCCCCGCUGGAAAGAUGAGGCCAUUCAAAAUG